rnacentral:rRNA from 1 species
AGGAUAAACGCUGGCGGCGUGCAUGAGACAUGCAAGUCGAACGGACGACUCGGGCUUGCUCGAGUCGUUAGUGGCGAACGGCUGAGUAACGCGUAGGUGACCUGCCCCGAAGUGGGGAAUAACUGCCCGAAAGGGUGGCUAAUACCGCAUGUGGUCGCACGUUCACUCGUGCGAGUAAAGCCGCAAGGCGCUUCGGGAGGGGCCUGCGUCCGAUUAGCUAGUUGGUGGGGUAACGGCCUACCAAGACGACGAUCGGUAGCUGGUCUGAGAGGACGAUCAGCCACACUGGGAUUGAGAACGGCCCAGACUCCUACGGGGGGCAGCAGUGAGGAAUUUUCCGCAAUGGACGCAAGUCUGACGGAGCAACGCCGCGUGCAGGAUGAAGGUUUUCGGACCGUAAACUGCUUUUCUCGGGGACGAGCAAGGACGGUACCCGAGGAAGAAGCCCCGGCUAACUACGUGCCAGCAGCCGC